UUAUUUGAUGGCUCUGCUGUGCAAAUAAGGGGUAUAUUGAUCCGCAUUUAACCAAUCCCAGUGAGCAUGCGCAAGCACACACGCACACACGCGCACACACUCCUCUUUUUUUCUAGGCGGUUCCAAUCUGUUCUGUGUAUUCAUCUUUUUUUUACAGUCUGUCGUAUUCAUUCAUCCAGAUCAUCCAGUCAAAAGGCUUUUUCGACUUCAUACGGCGCCAAAAGAACUGACAGGCUGACGAUGACGUCAAAGUAUCGCGAAAGCGAUUCGAGGAGUCUGCUUUCAAAUCGCUCUCGCGGAACUUUGACGUUGUACGUCUGUCAGUUGAUCUGGUUUAAUGUGAUUCGCGCUCUUUAUCCGUUGCAACUUGCUGUCUGAGGUAAAUAAGACGAGAAAGUUGAACCUUGCUCAUUAAAUGGAUAAAAGAAAACCAUGUAAGAGUUGGUUUGGAUAAAUAUGCGAAGGACAAUAAAUGUUAAGUGACCCAAAGACGGUUGGUCUUGUGGACAACGAGGAACAAACCGCCUAAAGGCGGUUGGAAAGCGUUUCCAGCACAAAUACUCAACGUGAACGGUAAGUGAAUUUCAUUUAAUUCGUUUAUUUAACUUUUAUAGGUUUUAAGUCGCCUCAUGGUAAACAUAUUUAUUUGAUAAGUCAUGUUUAACAUGCUACGCAGACUGCUAUUUUUAAAUGUUGAGCUAACAUAAAUGGGAAAUAUAACAAAACGCGCCUUAAACUGAACUCAGACCAGCGCUUGCACAGCAGUCUGAUAGGACCGAUCUCCGAAUUGAUACACGUGAUAAAACCACAACCUGUGAGUAAAGUUGUUAAAAAACAAUGUCGUUUGAUAGCAAAAAUAUCUACAACAAUGUAUUUUUGAGGUGAUUCCUUACUGACAGGAAAGUUCAUCUGACAGAAAUAGGUUUAAGUUAAUCAGCUAACUUAUUUUUAACAAAUAAAUUUCCUUUAUUAAAAAGGAAAGUCUAUAAAUAUUUUGAUGCUUUCAUUUAUGUUAUUAUUUUAUACUCUGCAAGAUACUGUUGUAUAAUCACUUUUGCUUUACUUCAAUACAGAGAGCCUUGGACAAAAAAAGGCAGAGUACCAGUCAGUGGUUAAAGACACACAAAAUGUGGACAUCAAAACAAAUGGCUACAUUUGCUCGUGAGGAAGAUGAUAACGAAGAGGAUGAGACUCCUUCAAACCAUAAGAUAGUGGAUGAUUCACACUCAACUGCAAAGCAAUGAAAGAACACAUCUGUCACUAAAUUGAACCCAGUCACCUUGGAUUAUGCCCAAAAGUGUGAGAAUUACAAGAAACUCACCAGAACUGUGAUGGACUCCAUUUCCACCUUAGAAAAAAUGACAACAUGCUCCGUCACAGGGAAAAAAGGGACCACUGGUGAACAAAGACAGAGUCCUGACAGAGAAAGUGAAGCUAGUAAUAGGAAGUGAUACUAAACUCGAUGGAAAAGCUAACCACGCCAAAGUGAGGUGAGCUGACCCGACCCAAACUAAACUAAACCGUGGGGUACUAUGCAAUGGAAAAGCGCCAUAAGUGCAGAGUAAGAUCAUACACCAAUACAAAUAACAAUACUUACUAGGGUUGGGUAUGAAGAAUCAGUUUCAUUUUAGAACCGAUUAAAACUUUAAAGAACCGGGGAUUCGUUACGAUGCACGCAUUUUGAUUCUUUUGAUCGAUUCCUGACUUUUCUCAUGCAUUCUCGCAUGGUGAAACAGUAGUGAGCAUUUUAUUGUUGUAUCUACCUGUAUAUGCCAGGACCUGCGACAAGAACAGGUGUUUCAUUAUGCACAUGCAUAGUUCAUCAUAAUCAAUAUUUAAAAGUUGUAAUGCUAACCAAAUGCUGCCAUAACCACAAAAAAUAAAUAAACCCACACGAUCAUGGUUUCAUAAUCGAUUGUCGA